AUAUUCUGCUAUUCGGGAAAGGGUCUUCCAGAAACAUCUGAGGUAGUUUGUAAUGCUGUCGACGUCAAUAGUCAACAUCAUUCCAACUGUCUCGGCUGUUUAUAGACUUU
rnacentral:pre_miRNA from 16 species